rnacentral:snoRNA from 1 species
UGCGAAUGAUGAAAGUGUUUUUCUUUGCUCGAGAAUCAAACCAUGUGGGCAAAAAUUUGAGCUUUUUAACUCUGACGCCA